GUGCCAGCCGCCGCGGUAAUACGGAGGGUGCGAGCGUUGUCCGGAAUCACUGGGCGUAAAGGGCGCGUAGGUGGCCCGUUAAGUGGCUGGUGAAAUCCCGCGGCUCAACUGCGGGGCUGCCGGUCAGACUGGCGAGCUAGAGCACGGUAGGGGCAGAUGGAAUUCCCGGUGUAGCGGUGGAAUGCGUAGAGAUCGGGAAGAAUACCAGUGGCGAAGGCGUUCUGCUGGGCCGUUGCUGACACUGAGGCGCGACAGCGUGGGGAGCAAACAGGAUUAGAUACCCUGGUAGUCC
rnacentral:rRNA from 1 species